GGAAUAUAAAAACAAUAUAAUUAAAUAUGACAAGAAACAAAAAGAGAGUAUAGAGAUUACCUCAACCGGGUUUAUUACACCCCACACCGAGUCACCACCAUCCUCCGAUGGCACGGGAUCAAUAAUCAACCUUCAAUCUCAACCGAGAAAACAAGUUUAGGACAAGCCACACCAAUAGAACAUGAACCCCUUUGAUCACAAACUCAAACCCUAGGUGAAUUCACUUAACAACCUAGUUUGAGAGAGAUGGAUUCUCUUUUUGCUAAACCCUAAAACCUUUAGCCAUAAAUCCAUAGUUGAGAGAUAAGAGAUAGAAGAACUAUAUAAUCUAAACCCUUAAGUUCUUUCACAAUAUGGGAGAGAGAGAUUAAAGAUGAGAGAGUAGGAGGUGCCCCCCUUUUUGGCUUUCAUGAGAGAGAAUUUGACUUGUGGAGUGAGAGAUUUGAGCCAUCGAUUCCAUAGAUAGGUCAUCAACAUUAUGGCAGGUGCAUGAACUAUUUUCUCAUUUCCUAAACCAUUUUCCCAUCAAUAUAAAUUAAAUAAAUUAAAUAAAUUAAAUCUAAUCAAAAUAUUGUGCAUACCAUAGAAUAGCACAAGUCUACUCGAAGUCAAUAUUUAGUUAAUAUCUUCCAACCAUAUGGCCACAUGCCAUAUCACCACAAAAAUAGGAAAAAGAAUAAGGGUGGGGCAUGCCUAUAGUUAGCAAAUCGGUGAUUAAUAGUCGAUUUUUUAAAAAAAAUCAGAGUUUUUUUUUAAAACAUGAAAAACGGCGUUUUUUUGAAAAGUUCGUAAAAAAAAAAGCGUUUUUUUCAUAAUAACGUUAAAAAUACGUUUUUUUUUAGAACAAAUUAAACGGCCCCAAAAAAACGUAUUUUUACUUGUAUUUUUUUUAAAAGACAAACAAUUUUUUUGUUCUAAUAUGUGUAAUUUUUGAAAAAACAUGUUAUAUCCAAAAAAAAAAUUCUAAAAUGGAAAUUUUUAUCCCCAAUUGAUUUAUGUAUUGUUAGGGUUUAUUGUCUUAGGGUUUAUGCUAAAAUCACAUUCUUCUUCUUCAAAACCGCAUUUACAGUUUGAAGGUAUGAUUUUUUUUUUUUUCUUAUAAAGUUAAACAUGUAAAUUCUUAGUAGUUCUUUUGCAAAGGAAAUAUUGUUUGCUUGUAAAUUAUUGUGCAGAGGAAAUUAUUGUGUAUAGAAAUAAUAUAGAUGCAGAGUAAACAAAACCAUAUAGAUCGAAAAACCGUAUUUCUGUGAUGAAUAAUCUAUCAGACUGUUUAGAAAUUUAUGGACCCCUUUUGUUCAAGCAUGUCAAUGGAUACAUUAAUUUUAGGGCAUCCCUAAAUGCAUACAUUAAACCUUCUAAGUGUUAAAAAUAGCAAUAUACAUUAAAAGACAAAAAAAAGCUUUUGCUCCUCCAAAUUACAGAAAUAUACAUUAAAAAAAAUAUAUAAUCAGACGUUUUUGUUCAGACAUAUACAUUAAACCUUCAAUAUUUAGGGCAUCCCUAAAUGCAUACAAAAACUUCAAAGAAAAAAAAAACUUAAAAUCAGCAAACCUAAUUUCAUGCUCCUGUAAAUAUCAUAAUCUUCAUGCUCCUGUAAAUUUCAGAAAAAAACUCCAUUCAACCACAAUCUUCUUGCUCCUGCAAUUAUAAAGAAAAACUCCAAGAACUCCAUUUCAUUUUCUCUCUUUAACAGAGAAAAACCCCUUUCAAUUUCUCUCAUAGAGAAAACCCCCUUUUUAUUUUCUCUCUCUAAUAUAGAAAUCCCCUUUCAUUUUCUCUCUCAAAUAAAAUCGCCAUUUCAUUCUUCCCCUUUCAGCUCUAGCCCAUCCUCCCCUUUCAGCUCCAGGCCUCUCCUUGUUUUCAAUGAAGCAGCGAUUACCCAUACUCUCCAAGCAUCUUCCUGCUUUCAGGGAUACUUGUUUUCAAUGAAAACAAAGAAUAUAAAGUAUAAAACCUUAUUAUUAACGAUAGUUAUAACGUGACUAAACCAUGGUUAAAGUAUUUAAUGGAAAAAAAAAGUGUGCCUUGUUUUUGGUAUGUUG
rnacentral:lncRNA from 1 species